rnacentral:ncRNA from 1 species
AUUUACGCUUCGCAAUGUGCGACACAGAAACAUUGUAGAUACAAUUACGUUUCACAAUGUACGGCAAAGUAACAUUGUAGUAUUCAAUUUACGCUUCGCAAUGUGCGACACAGAAACAUUGU